rnacentral:rRNA from 1 species
UACGGGGGGGGCAAGCGUUGUUCGGAAUUACUGGGCGUAAAGGGCUCGUAGGCGGCCAACUAAGUCAGACGUGAAAUCCCCAGGCUUAACCUGGGAACUGCGUCUGAUACUGGAUGGCUUGAAUUCGGGAGAGGGAUGCAGAAUUCCAGGUGUAGCGGUGAAAUGCGUAGAUAUCUGGAGGAAUACCGGUGGCGAAGGCGGCAUCCUGGACCGACAUUGACGCUGAGGCGCGAAAGCCAGGGGAGCAAACGGG